rnacentral:rRNA from 1 species
GAGUUUGAUCCUGGCUCAGAUUGAACGCUGGCGGCAUGCCUUACACAUGCAAGUCGAACGGCAGCACGGGAGCUUGCUCCUGGUGGCGAGUGGCGAACGGGUGAGUAAUGCAUCGGAACGUAUCCUGGAGUGGGGGAUAACGUAGCGAAAGUUACGCUAAUACCGCAUAUUCUGUGAGCAGGAAAGCGGGGGACCUUCAGGCCUCGCGCUCUUGGAGCGGCCGAUGUCGGAUUAGCUAGUUGGUGAGGUAAAGGCUCACCAAGGCGACGAUCCGUAGCAGGUCUGAGAGGAUGAUCUGCCACACUGGAAUGAGACACGGUCCAGACUCCUACGGGAGGCAGCAGUGGGAAUUUUGGACAAGUGGGGGCGAACCCUGAUCCAGCCAUGCCGCGUGAAUGAAGA